UACAGAGGUCUCAAGCGUUCGUUCGGAUUCAUUGGGCGUAAAGGGUGCGUAGGCGGCGCGGUAAGUCGGGUGUGAAAUCUUGGAGCUUAACUCCGAAACUGCAUUCGAUACUGCCGUGCUUGAGGACUGGAGAGGAGACUGGAAUUUACGGUGUAGCGGUGAAAUGCGUAGAUAUCGUAAGGAAGACCAGUGGCGAAGGCGGGUCUCUGGACAGUUCCUGACGCUGAGGCACGAAGGCCAGGGGGAGCAAAACGGG
rnacentral:rRNA from 1 species